rnacentral:lncRNA from 1 species
GCCUCUAACAUGUCCACCUGUUGUCCUUGACACGAGCCGGAUAUCCCCAAAUCUUAAAAUAACCAAGAUUUAGUUUCUCACCAUGCCAUAUCCCAUAUGGUGUGGUAGGAAUGGAUAUAGAGGGAACCCUAUUCAAUAGGUAAAUUUAAAAAAAAAAAAUAUGUCCCUAAAGAAAUAAAGAUAAAUCAGUAAAGUCCAUUAUGGAUCGGAUCAUAUUUCAUAUAGUCCCAUUCCUCCUCUUAAAUACCUCAUUG